ACUCCUACGGAGGCAGCAGUGGGGAAUAUUGCACAAUGGGCGCAAGCCUGAUGCAGCCAUGCCGCGUGUAUAAGAAGGCAGCUUCGGGUUGUAAAGUACUUUCAGCAGUGAGGAAGGUGGGUGUGUUAAUAGCAUACUCAUUUGACGUUAGCUGCAGAAGAAGCACCGGCUAACUCCGUGCCAGCAGCCGCGGUAAUACGGAGGGUGCGAGCGUUAAUCGGAAUUACUGGGCGUAAAGCGCAUGCAGGUGGUUUGUUAAGUCAGAUGUGAAAGCCCGGGGCUCAAGCCUC
rnacentral:rRNA from 1 species